UCCAGACUCCUACGGGAGGCAGCAUUUAGGAAUAUUGGUCAAUGGCCGCAGUUCUGAACCAGCCAAUUCUCUUGAGGGAUGACUUUCCUAUGGAUUUUAAACCUCUUUUUUCCUGGAGCAAAUGUCUCCACGUGUUUCUUUUUGCGAGUACCUUAAGAAAAAGCAUCUUCUAACUCCUUUCCCUCAGCCGCUUGAAUACGGAGGAUGCGAUCGUUAUCCGGAUUUAUUGGGUUUAAAGGGUGCGCAGGCGGAAUGUCAAGUCAGAGGUAAAAUUUCGGGGAUCAACCCCGUCGUGCCGUUGAAACUGGCGUUCUUGAGUGAGCGAGAAGUAUGCGGAAUGCGUGGUGUAGCGGUGAAAUGCAUAGAGAUAAAGCAGAACUCCGAUUGCGAAGGCAGCAUACCGGCGCUCAACUGACGCUCAUGCACGAAAGCGUGGGUAUCGAACAGGAUUAGAUACCCCCGUAG
rnacentral:rRNA from 1 species